GAUGAACGCUGGCGGCGUGCCUAAUACAUGCAAGUCGAGCGAACGGACGAGAAGCUUGCUUCUCUGAUGUUAGCGGCGGACAGGUGAGUAACACGUGGAUAACCUACCUAUAAGACUGGGAUAACUUCGGGAAACCGGAGCUAAUACCGGAUGAUAUUUUGAACCGCAUGGUUCAAAAGUGAAAGACGGUCUUGCUGUCACUUAUAGAUGGAUCCGCGCUGCAUUAGCUAGUUGGUAAGGUAACGGCUUACCAAGGCAACGAUGCAUAGCCGACCUGAGAGGGUGAUCGGCCACACUGGAACUGAUACACGGUCCAGACUCCUACGGGAGGCAGCAGUAGGGAAUCUUCCGCAAUGGGCGAAAGCCUGACGGAGCAACGCCGCGUGAGUGAUAAAGGUCUUCGGAUCGUAAAACUCUGUUAUUAGGGAAGAACAUAUGUGUAAGUAACUGUGCACAUCUUGACGGUACCUAAUCAGAAAGCCACGGCUAACUACGUG
rnacentral:rRNA from 1 species